rnacentral:rRNA from 1 species
CAGCAAUAGCUCAAAUUUGAAAUCUGGCGUCUUCGGCGUCCGAGUUGUAAUUUGUAGAGGAUGCUUCUGAGUAACCACCGACCUAAGUUCCUUGGAACAGGACGUCAUAGAGGGUGAGAGCCCCGU